AGGCGUCAACACGGGAGCUCGCACCUAGCGGGCUGAGAGGGCGGCUGGGGCCGUCGACCGCUGAACCUGUCCGGGUAAUGCCGGCGUAGGGAGCUAGGGGACCUCCAUG
rnacentral:ncRNA from 1 species